CACCGUCAGAAGGCUGCCAUGUGGCCCACAGGCUGCAGUAGGGUGGGGCGUGUUCUCUGCAGAAGGUCAGUCCAGCGCCCACCUGACCUGAACCUGGCCAUGUGGCCAAGCCAGUGCAGGGUCAGUAAUCCACCUUGUGGCAGAUCCUCCUAACCAAGCAUGAGACUGCGACCUGCUGCCACAGCACUGCUGCAGCCUGGCGCGUCCUCUCUGAAGCACUGCGGAGUAGAGUGGUGUCUGCUGCGUCCCUGAGUGUGGGUGCCGGCCGCUGGUGAGGAGAGCCUGCGGAGCCAGGCUCCUGAAGCAUCUGGGUGAUGUGGGGCCACCAGGAGGGCUGACGAUCGAGAUCUUACGUGAAAGGGCUUCACCCAGACCCAAGCAGGGCAACCAGGAGCUGUGCCGUGGGCUGGCCACGCAGUGUUCUUUGAGGGGCGUCAGAAGGGCCUAACCAUGGUAGACAGACAAGGAAGUGCAGCGCUACCAACAGAGGACAGUGCUGCACAUGAACAGACCUGGGAGGUUGUGACACUCAGAACUGGCAAUGAGGGGACCCACAGGCGACGCAGGCACAACGGCUGGUAGAAGCCUCAGUGGGUGGUAUGUGCGCCAAUCAGUCAGCCCCUGAGGGCCUAAGCUCUGGAUCUUCCUCAGAGGGCAUCUGACACAGGACUCCUAAGGCUUGUCUCCCAAUCACUUCCGUGGCACAAACAGUGUGACUUGACAUUCCUGCAGUGCAUCCUCAGAGCACAGGACCCUGCAGACUGGGCCAGUGUGCAAAGGCAACAGGCAGUGUGUCCAGUCUCCGGAAGCGUGUCACUCUGCGGGGUCUGGAUGCUUCCUGUGGACUGGCUGAGACUUAGGGCACAGGCUUCCUGGCGCCUUUUGAAUCCGAGAGUCACGAGGGAGCUGGGUUUUAGAACACCCUCGGAAGCAUGAAGGUAGAUGAAGUACAGAAGCCCUACUGGGGCAAGGCAGAAUUGAGAGACUAGUAAGGCCCCAGUCUGGCCUGGGAGGUGGGGCGGGUUCGGUCCUUGUGCGGUGAGGUCUACCUGGCAUCCUUUCUGUCCCCAGACCUGGCAACCCAGAGCGCAGCUGACUCCUAUGCUGGACAAACCUCUUGGGUUGGGGGCGUAUGUGACCUAUGAAUCCACUCCCCAUCACCUCAGCCCUGCUUCCAGACCACACUGGACAGAAGCAGCAGGAACAGAAGGGAAGACACUUCCCUAUCCCCAGCCUGAGGGUAAGCAACAGAAAGAACACAAAAGCUGGUGGCCCGCAGGACCUCCCAUUAUUCCCCAGACAACCUGAACCCGGUACCAAUGAAAUGUCUUGCUAAUGAAUUACCCUGUUCUCGCCCCCACCACAAACAAAAACAACAAAACCACAAACGGAGGCAUGGCUGCCGCUCUGCUGUGAGAGUCAGCGCUGUGAAGCCUGUGCAACCUGGACGUGGGGUUAGAGAUGUGUUAGAGAUGCUGGCUUUGGCCUUGCUCCUCAGAAGACAAGGAAGCAAGCAAGCUGAGGAGAACUGUUAGCAUCACGUUGCCACUGGGGACGAGGGCCACGUAGGAGCCAGGAUACUGCGAAAAGGAAGUACCUGGGCUUCCAGUGACG
rnacentral:lncRNA from 1 species